CUAGUCGCACGAGUUCAGACUCGUGGCGAAUAGCUCAGUAACACGUGGCCAAACUACCCUUCGGAACACAAUACCCUCGGGAAACUGAGGCUAAUAGUGUAUACCAUACCACCACUGGAAUGAGUGGUAUGCCAAACGCUCCGGCGCCGAAGGAUGUGGCUGCGGCCGAUUAGGUAGACGGUGGGGUAACGGCCCACCGUGCCAAUAAUCGGUAUGGGUCAUGAGAGUGAGAACCCAGAGACGGAAUCUGAGACAAGAUUCCGGGCCCUACGGGGCGCAGCAGGCGCGAAACCUUUACACUGCACGACAGUGCGAUAGGGGGAUCCCAAGUGCACAGGCAUAGCGCCUGUGCUUUUCGGUACCCUAAGGCGGUACCAGAAUAAGGGCUGGGCAAGACCGGUGCCAGCCGCCGCGGUAAUACCGGCAGCCCAAGUGAUGGCCGAUCUUAUUGGGCCUAAAGCGUCCGUAGCUGGCCGCGCAAGUCCAUCGGGAAAUCCACCUGCUCAACAGGUGGGCGCCCGGUAGAAACUGCGUGGCUUGGGACCGGAAGGCGCGACGGGUACGUCCGGGGUAGGAGUGAAAUCCCGUAAUCCUGGACGGACCGCCGAUGGCGAA
rnacentral:rRNA from 2 species